GAUGAAGAACGUAGCGAAAUGCGAUAAGUAAUGUGAAUUGCAGAAUUCUGUGAAUCAUCGAAUCUUUGAACGCACAUUGCGCCCGCCAGUAUUCUGGCGGGCAUGCCUGUCUGAGCGUCAUUUCAACCCUCAUGCCCCUAGGGCGUGGUGUUGGGGAUCGGCCAAAGCCCGCGAGGGACGGCCGGCCCCUAAAUCUAGUGGCGGACCCGUCGUGGCCUCCUCUGCGAAGUAGUGAUAUUCCGCAUCGGAGAGCGAUGAGCCCCUGCCGUUAAACCCCCAACUUUCCAAGGUUGACCUCAGAUCAGGUAGGAAUACCCGCUGAACUUAAGCAUAUCAAUAAGCGGAGGA
rnacentral:misc_RNA from 1 species